UAGCUCAGUGGUAGAGCACCUGCCUAGCAUGCAGGAUGCUCUGGGUUCGACACCAG
rnacentral:tRNA from 1 species